rnacentral:rRNA from 1 species
CCUACGGUGAGCAGCAGUCGAGAAUCAUUCACAAUGGGGGAAACCCUGAUGGUGCGACGCCGCGUGGGGGAAUGAAGGUCUUCGGAUUGUAAACCCCUGUCAUGUGGGAGCCAAUUAAAAAGAUAGUACCACAAGAGGAAGCGACGGCUAACACUGUGCCAGCAGCCGCGGUAAUACAGAGGUCUCAAGCGUUGUUCGGAAUCACUGGGCGUAAAGCGUGCGUAGGCUGUUUCGUAAGUCGUGUGUGAAAGGCGCGGGCUCAACCCGCGGACGGCACAUGAUACUGCGAGACGAGAGGAAUGGAGGGGGAACCGGAAGGCUCGGUGUAGCAGUGAAAUGCGUAGAUAUCGAGAGGAACACUCGUGGCGAAGGCGGGUUCCUGGACAUUAACUGACGCUGAGGCACGAAGGCCAGGGGAGAGAAAGGGAUUAGAUACCCCAGUAGUC